UACCAUCUUAACAAAAUGGAGUUUUCCAAUUCAUUAACUUGGUAUCUCUUUCUAUCUAGUUAAGGCUUCUUUAAUUUCUCUCCAUCUUCUUUUAUUGUUUUCAGAAUAGAGUGCUUGAAUAUCUUUUGUGAGAUUUAUUCCUGGGUAUUUUAUAUUUUCUUGGUACUGCUGUAAAUGGAAUUAUCUUUGAAACUUUAUUUUCAAACUUUUUGCUGAUUAUAAAUGCAUAUGAAAUGGAUUUUUUAGUAUUAUUCUUAUAUCUUAUCUUGCUAAAUUUGUUUACUAGUUCUAGUAGUAGGUAUGUAGAUGCUCUGGGAUUUUUAUUGAAGCAAUUAUCAUUCUCAAAUAGGGAAAAGAUUGUGUGUUUUUUAAUCCGCACCAGAGGAUAUGUUUUUAUUGACUUUAUAGAGAGGGGAAGGGAGAGAGAGAAAGAGAAACACAUUGAUGUGAGAGAGAAAUGCACCUCAACUGGGGAUUGAACCCUCAACCUUUCGCAUUUUCUUCUUAUCUUUUUAAUGGCUCUAGAUUCUGAAGUAAUAACCCCUUUUUCAUUCUAAAUAUAGAUAAUUGAUUGGUCUAGCUGGGGAUGGGGAUUGGGGGGAGGAGGAGGUAUCCAUUUUGUUGGUGUUUUCAAAGAACCAGCUUUAGGCUUUAACUUUCUUUUUCUUUUGUGUUUGUGUUCAGUUUCAUUGAUUUCUGCUAUUAUCUUUAUUAUUUUCCUCCUUCUAUUUACUUUUGGUUAAUUCUGCUCUUUUUAAGCUUUUUUUAAGAUAGGGAAAUUUGUUCUUAAAUCUUUAGUCUUUGAAGGACUUUGUUUGAUUUAUUUAAUAAACAUUUACCAAGAUCUUAUGAAUCGAUAUACCAGGCACUGUCAUAGUUCUUAAAGCUAUGAGGACAAAUAGGGCAAGUUGCUUACAGGAUAGUGGACAUUGGUACAUGUCUUCAGUGUUUUAUCAGAAGUGGCACAUCAGCCUUAGUUGGUUUGGCUCAGUGGAUAGAGCCUUGGCCUGCAGAGUGAAGGGUCCUGGGUUCGAUUCCAGUCAAGGGCACAUGCCCAGGUUGCGGGCUCGAUCCCCAGUAGGGGGCAUGCAAGAGGCAGCCAGUCAGUGAUUCUCUCUCAUCAUUGAUGUUUCUAUCUCUCUCUCCCUCUCCCUUCCUCUCUGAAAUCAAUAAAAAUAAAUUU